AUGGAGCAAGAUGCUAGCAAUCAGAUUCCCAAGAAUCCUACUCCUGCCCCAAGUGGAUCUAAGUCUAGAACUGUCCAUCCUAUCCCUCAUACCCCUAUUGAGCAAGCUCAUUUAAUUUCUUCAAAUCACCUGGGAGCCCCUGUGACCAAGAGUUAUCUAGAUGCUGCUAAGAAAGCCAACUAUGAAGGCUGUGGCAACAGUUUGCUGGCUCAGUUUGAAGCAGUGAAGGGUAACUCCAAUGACAUUGGCCCCAAUCCCUUAACUUCAGCCUCAGCUAUCACUACCCUCUCUUGUCCUACUCCCAGACCUCAGGCCACUAGGACUGACCAAGGGAGAUGGGGCCCUGUUGUUGCCACUAGGAUGAGCAACAGGAUUAUAAGAGAUGGCAAGAAUGCUAUAGCUAAAGCCCAGGAAAUUAAGCAAGUUCAGAACCUAGAGGUAACCAAAGGUGAUUUCAAUGAUAUAUGGAGGAAGGAGGAGAUCAAGGCUAGACAGAGAUCCAGGGAGAAGGAGAUACUGGAGGGAGAACUCAACACUGGGUACUUCAGAGCAGUGGCCAAUCAAAAAAGGAGGAGGAAACAGAUUGCUGUACUAGAAACCCCUUCAGGUCCUAUGGAAGACACUAAAGGCUAUCUGGCGAAAAACUGCGUCAAAUCUGUCUACAUGGGAGUGCCUGUCCUCAGAGUGUGCCAAGGACAGGGUGGUGUGGGCUGCGAAAGAACUGGAGAUGAAAGCAAGAAGCCCACCUCUGCUAAUGUGGCCAGAUCCUGGAUGAGGCGUGGAUAUACAUUUUGA
rnacentral:rRNA from 1 species